UACGAAGGGGGCGAGCGUUGUUCGGAAUCACUGGGCGUAAAGGGCGCGUAGGCGGCCCUCCUUGUCGCGUGUGAAAGCCCCGGGCUCAACCUGGGAACGGGCGCGCGAGACGGGGGGGCUGGAGUUCGGCAGGGGAGACUGGAAUUCCUGGUGUAGCGGUGAAAUGCGCAGAUAUCAGGAGGGAACACCGGUGGGCGAAGGCGG
rnacentral:rRNA from 1 species